UUUCUGGCUAAAAAAUAAAAUAAAAAAAAUCUAAGAGCUUAUUUUUUUCUCUCCAGGCCUUCUUCGGCCGGCCCUGGCUCUGACGAGCCUCCGCCGUGACGGCCACCGGUGGCCAGAAAACUGAAAAAAAACCCUAUUUUUGUCUCCUUUUUUUAAUAGAACCCAGAUCUGGGUUUAAAUCCUCAGAAAUCUAACCAACACUCGACCGAGGGAAAAGAAACCGAAAGGUUUCGCCUAUCUCCGAUGAGGCCUUCAUUAGAACCCUAAAGGGUUCCCAAGCUCCUUAAAUCGGUGGAAAGAACCGACGACGGUGGCAGCAACUAUGUAUCUCAAGUAAGAUUUUUUUACAUAUAUAUUAUAUAUAUGUAAGAAUGGAUUCGAAAAAUAAAAAAAAAACACCUUUUUAAGUUUAUCUGUUUUUUUUUAUUACUCUUCUGUGUGUAAAAAAUACAUUAGGUCUUGCUUUUAUAGCUGAAUAAUUUAUUAGAUUUUGAUUUUUCUAUAUAUUUUCAAUGUUUCUAUUGUUUCUGCUACACUAUUUCUUUGUUGUUGUUGUUGUUUUCCUUUUCUGUCCUUUUUUCUCUCUUUUUUUGUAGGUGACGGAGGUGAUGGGAAUCGGAGUGCGGCGCUAGAAACCCUAUGGUUUCUGGCUUCUGUAAAAUAAUUUGGGCCACUGCGCCUUUAGUUUUUUGGUUUGGGCCAUUUGGGCCUCCUUUUUUAAAAUUGGACCAUUAAUUUUUUUAUCUGAUUUCUGUUUGGGCCUUUUAUUUGUUUGUGAUUCAGGCCCGGGCAAAAUUGGGCUAUCACAAUGAGAAGAAUGUUGCUUUUGAAUCCCUUUUAAUUUCUUUUCCAUAUUUUACCAUUGAGCCAUUUAGUUUAGGAGAAUUCCCAUUUGUUUUGUUUCGUUCUAGGUCUGGAAUCUUAUAGUUUUACUUAUUGAUAUUUCAAGUCGAAGGCUUAA
rnacentral:lncRNA from 1 species